CCGGCAAACGGGUGCGGAACACGUACGCAAUCUACCCAAAACUGGUGAAUAGCCCUCCGAAAGGAGGAUUAAUACACCGUAACAUAUUGAGAAGGCAUCUUUUUAAUAUUAAAGCUCCGGCGGUUUUGGAUGAGCGUGCGCCUGAUUAGGUAGUUGGCGGGGUAACGGCCCACCAAGUCUGCGAUCAGUAACUGGUGUGAGAGCACGACCAGUCACACGGGCACUGAGACACGGGCCCG
rnacentral:rRNA from 1 species